UACAGAGGGUGCAAACGUUGCUCGGAAUCAUUGGGCGUAAAGCGCACGUAGGCGGCCUAGCAAGUAGGGAGUGAAGGCCCUCGGCUUAACGGAGGAAGUGCUUUCUAAACUACUAGGCUUGAAUACUGGAGAGGGUCGCGGAAUUCCCGGUGUAGAGGUGAAAUUCGUAGAUAUCGGGAGGAACACCAGUGGCGAAGGCGGCGACCUGGACAGAUAUUGACGCUGAGGCGCGAAAGCUAGGGGAGCAAACGGG
rnacentral:rRNA from 1 species